rnacentral:rRNA from 1 species
CCUACGGGAGGCAGCAGUGGGGAAUAUUGGUCAAUGGACGCAAGUCUGACCCAGCAACGCCGCGUGAAGGAAGAAGGCUUUCGGGUUGUAAACUUCUUUUAAGGGGGAAGAGCAGAAGACGGUACCCCUUGAAUAAGCCACGGCUAACUACGCGCCACCAGCCGCGGUAAUACGGAGGUGGCAAGCGUUGUCCGGAUUUACUGGGUGUAAAGGGCGUGGAGCCGGGGAGGCAAGUCAGAUGUGAAAUCCGAGGGCUCAACUCGAGAACUGCAUUUGAAACUGCUUCCCUUGAGUAUCGGAGAGGUAAUCGGAAUUCCUGGUGUAGCGGUGAAAUGCGUAGAUAUUAGGAAGAACACCAGUGGCGAAGGCGGACUACUGGACGACAACUGACGGUGAGGCGCGAAAGCGUGGGGAGCAAACAGGAUUAGAUACCCGAGUAGUC